AAAAAUGCUAAUAUUUUUGUUUUGGUCAAAGUCAAAAAUAAAAUUCAUUUAUAGUUUAUACUUUUAAUUUUAGGAACAAAAGUCAAGAAAUGCCACAUUCCACAAACAAAGAACUUAUAUUUGCCAUCAUGGUGGGAACUGCUGGUAUCAGCUUGCUGGUUCUGUGGUAUCAAAGGGUUCGUAAACCAAGGACAGCAAUGAGUUUGCCAAAAUUUUUUUCUCUGGGUAAUACAUUUGAUUCAACAACUUUGCAAGAUAAAACACAUAAUGGCCAAGGAACACCAGCAAUCUUUCAGAGAAGGCAACUUCAGAUACUGGAGAAGUUAAAUGAAUUGCUGACAAAUAUGGAAGAACUCAAAGAGGAAAUCAGAUUUCUUAAAGAAACUAUUCCAAAACUAGAGGAAUAUAUACAAGAUGAACUUGGAGGGAAGAUAACGGUUCAUAGGGUAAGUCCUCAGCACAGAGCCAGAAAAAGAAGAGCAACUGCGGUUCAAAGUUCAGCAACAAGUAAUAGUUCAGAGGAAGCAGAAAGUGAAGGAGGGUAUAUUACAGCUAACACUGACACAGAAGAACAGAGUUUCUCAGUGCCUAAGGCAUUUAACACGCAUGUAGAGGAAUUAACGUUAGAUAUCCUUCUUCAGAAGGCAGAUCACUUACGCAUGACUGAGUCUGGCAAAAUGGAGGGUUUUGAACUACUGUGUGACCACGAAGAGAAGUUUAGAGAUGAAAUAGAAUUUGUGUGGCGGUUUGCUCGGGCUUAUGGAGACAUGUUUGAGCUUUCUACAAAUACACAGGAGAAGAAACAUUAUGCUAAUAUUGGAAAAACAUUAGGUGAAAAAGCUAUCACUAGAGCACCUAUGAAUGGCCACUGUCAUCUGUGGUAUGCAGUUUUGUGUGGCUAUGUAUCUCAGUUUGAGGGCUUACAAAAUAAAAUCAACUAUGGACAUCGCUUCAAGGAACAUCUAGAUAUAGCAAUCCAACUUUUACCUGACGAACCCUUUUUGUAUUACCUCAACGGAAGGUACUGUUACACUGUCUCAAAACUCAGCUGGAUUGAGAAAAAAAUGGCUGCUACUCUGUUUGGGAAUAUGCCAUCUUCAACUGUACAAGAAGCUUUGCGUAACUUCCUUAAGGUAUUUUUUAUUGUCUUGGUUAUUCUUCUCGUUGCUGAGGCAAAAUAGCCAACACCCAAAGUUAAGGGAAGAAAGAUUUAUUGUACCUCACAGUUUGUAGAAGUUUCAGUUCAUAGUCAGCUGGUUCAAGACAGGGUGGCAUGGCAGAGGGACAUGGCAGAGGAGAAAUAGUUCAUGGUGGGCAGAAGGCAGCAAAGCAACGAAGUAGUGAGGAAGCAGCAAGUGAUGACAGCAACCCUCUUUCUGUUCCUUAUGUUCUAUCCAGGCUCCAUGGCCUUACAAGAGGUAGCACUGGCACCCAGAGUGGCUUUUCUUCUUCUCUACAUCCAGAACUAUGCCAAACCAAUCACUGGAGUAAUUUAGUAAUCACAUACCUGUUUAAUCCCAACAUCACAUACUUAAUCCCAACAUCAGACCAUACAUCCAGCCACCUCUGAAAAGUUCCACCUAUGACUUCAUAAGACUUUGGGAGGACAUCUAGACACAAACCAUAUCAUUAUUUUUGUAUCAGACUGACUACCCUCUCUGCUGGUUCCUACUACUACUCUUGUCAAAGAAAUCUAUGUCUUCUCCAUGUGUAGAUCUCUAAUUGCAGUACUCAUUUGGAUCCUAAUUUUGUCAUGUUCUGUGUUUUUGUUUUGCAGUAGUGGGGUUGAAUCCAAGGAGUGCUGAACUAUAUCUUCAGCCCUUUUGUUAAUUAAAUAAAAAUUUUGAGAGACAGUCUCACUAAAUUUUCCAAGCUGACCUUAAACUUACAAUCCUUUUGCCUCAGUCUCCUGAAUAGCUGGUAUUAUAAAGGUGUGCCACCACAUCAGUCUGGCAUGUUCUGUCUUAAGCUUCUAAUAAUACAAUCUAUGUUUCAAAUCUAAAUUUCUUAUGACAACUAGUUACGCUUUAGGUCCAUGAUAGAGAACUCUUUAGAGACGAGUACCCAAACUUCAACCCAAAACCCACUUAUUUAUCACAUAGUGCCAACACUACAAUUAAACCUGAAUGCUGAAUAUUUAGUUUAGAAAAAACAACUUAUAUAUUAACAGCUUUUAAAAGAAAAACAAAUAACACCUGUGCCAUAGGUUUGCCACCACUGCCCUAUGUCCUAGGAAUAACAAGCUAAUUUUAAAAAAUAAUUCAGCAGCCUAAAUAAAAGUUUUGUUGUAGCAGCCCUUACCAUCAAUCUGGGAGCAGCUCCCAAGCCAUGUGAGCAGUGCCAAAACAGCCAUGUCCUUCUUAUCAGACUUGUUUCCAAUACUGUACUCACAAGAAACUUAAUAUAGAACCAGUUUGUGUGUGUGUGUAUCUGUGUGUCUGUGUGUGAGUGAGUGAUACUGGGGGUUAAAUCCAGGGAGCACUGAGCUAUAUACCCAACCUACCCCAUCCACUUUUUUGAGACAAGUUCUCACUAAAUUGCCCAGGCUGGCCUCAAACUUGUAAUCCUCCCACUGUAGCCUCCCAAGUACCAGUAAUUACAUGCAUGCCAUCACAUGCUGCAGAACUAGUUUAAUUUUAGAACCAAAAGAUACUACAAGGAAGAGUUAGUCUUUAAAACAUUUUCUGAGUCAUAUACACUUACAUGAAAGAUUCUUGGAGCAUCAGAUCAAACCAGUAUUAUCUUAAUAUAUAUAGUUGCUAUGCAAAUACAACUUGAACAAUAUAUAGGUGUGCACACAUGUAAAUGUGUAAUAUAUCUCCUCAUAUAAGCAAGUUUUUGUAGGUUUAAUACUAACUGUGGAACCAAUAUAAAAUGUUAUAUUUACAAGUUGAACAACCCUAGCCCCAAAAUCUGAAGUCUGAAAUUCUCUAAAAUGUAAAACUCUUGAACAUUGUCAUAUCAUCUCUCAAAAAGUUUUAGAUUUUGGAGCAUUUAGAAUUUUAAAUUUUUGAAUUAGGAAUGUUUGACUAGUAGGUUAAGUCUAUACACAUUUUCCAAAAUUUUUAAAAAGUCUAAAAUAUGAAACACUUUGGGUCUCCUCAUACUUUGAACACAGGAUGCUCAACAUGUGACAAAUGCUUCCCCCCCACACUUCAAAUUUAUAAAAAUAUAGGCAAAAUCAGGCUGAAUCAUAUUUUCUGAUGAUAAUAUUUGCGUUGGAUUUUUAGGGAUUGAUUUUGUAAAACUGAGAGGGAAUUUAGAGAUCAUAUAGUCUAAGGUGGAUAAUAGGCUUCCUCUCAGUUUUGCCCUCUAAUCAAUGGCCAUUGGUUGCUUGGAGGACUAUGUGUGAAAAUUCAUGUCCUCAGAUAGAGCACAAGCCCAACAGAAAAGAAUGCAGGUAAUAAGAGUACAAAGGCCAUACACUUUUUAAAUUUAAUGUAAUUUUAAUUUAAUUUUUUUACAUAAAAGUGAAUCAAGGAACUAAUUUGUCCAAUCUCACACAACCACAGAGAUUUGAUUUAGCAUAACAGUUAAAUCUACCCAUCCUCUUGUCUUCACCGUCUUUUUUUACCACUGAGAAUUAACUCUUUCACUUUAAGUUCUGUAAGAAUAUGGAUCAUAGUACAUUUAAGAGAAAUUAUUUAUAUAAGAGAUGCUGAGUUAUUUUUUAAUGGUAUUUGAACUCAAAACUCAUUUCCGGGACCUGGGGAUUUAGCUCAGUGGCACAGCGCCUGCCUGGCAAGCAUGAGGUCGUGAGUUCAAUUCCCAGUACCAGGAAAAAAAACCCUCAUUUCGUCAUACCAUCAAAAUUAUAACUGAGGAUUGGGGUUUCAGAACACUGUAUAAAAGUUAUUGAGGGGAGGUGGGCCGCCUGCACCUGGGAAACCGUGCAACGGGGAGCUCCAGCCUUUGGGCCGAACCCCAGCCAAGCAGGCACCCGGGAGGCGGGCCGCCUGUGCCCAGGAAGCCACGCAGCAGGGAGCUCCAGCCUUUGGGCGGAACCCCAGCCACACAGGCGCCUGGGAGGUGGGCAGCUGGUGUCCUGGAAGCUGCACGGCAGCACGCGCUGGCGCGUGCCAGCCCUCAACCCACCCACCACCGUGCAGUCGAGAGAACUAUCGUGGCCCAGAGAAGCAAUGACAGAAUUGGCCUGCCACGCACCGACCACAGAGGCCUGCCCAGGGACGUGCAUGAAUCAUCCCAACGUGGAGAAACCCCUGGGAAUACAUGCCACACAACGGGUCGCUCUUGCCCCUGCCAUUGAGAACCAGAAAGGUCCAGAGUCAAUGACAAACAGCUGCUGAACAAGGACUCAGAGAACAUGAGAAUACAGACUACCCCGAAGACUGAGAGGUGUAGUUGACCGGGGUCACGAAAGCCAUUUGGAAGCUAGAAACCAAGAGGACCUUGUGCCAUACCUGGGGAGA
ensembl:lincRNA